AUCACUCCUCAGCCAUUUGGCUAAGAUCAAGUGUAUAUCUGUUCUUAUCAGUUUAGUAUGUGCUGUGUCCUCGACAUGAGGAUGAUAUAGUAAAUGGAUUUUUGAAGCAGGGAGUUGGAAUAGGAGCUUGCUCCAUCCACUCCACACAUCAACCUGGUAUUGCAGUACCUCCAGAAAUAAUGCACUUCUU